rnacentral:lncRNA from 13 species
UUUUUAUUUGUGUUUUACUUAAUUUAAAUUCCUUUAUUUCAAGCAGGGUCUUACUUUGUGAGGCUGACAUAAUCCUCACACCUCAGCCUUCUGAGUAGUUGGGACCAGAGCUGCAUGCCACCAUGCCUGGCUAACUUGUCAAAUUGUGUAGCGAUGAGGCCUCCAUGUUGCCUAGCCCAGGUGGGGGAAGGGCCUUGGCAGAACACAGGCACCUUGUAGAAUGUCCACUGUGAGGCACCAGCCACCAGGGCCGGGGAUUGGUGAAGAGGGAGUACAAGGCCCCAGGGUUGCUAAGGCAGCGCCCAGACUGGGACAGCUUUUGGUGGACACCAGAGCCCUGGUCUCCCUCCAACUGCUCCAGAGCCUCCCACUGCCCCACCCUGCGCUUCCUGCUGCUCCGCUGAUCCACUUUCCCACGGACCGGGACCCUGAAAUGGCCAGGACAUGCUGCUGCUGUGGCUGCUGUUUUGGCUCCUCAUGCUGGGGUUCCCUCACCAUCAGUCCACCCACUGUGAGCAUAUUUUUGGAUACAUUUCAAAAUGUAAUACAGAUUUCUAAAUAUUUAAAAGAAGACCUUGGCUCUCAACCAGUGUCAUUGAUGUGCUGCCUGAAAGCUUGCAUCCCAGGCCUGGCUUUUCUGAAAUUCCCUGGGUGCUUAUUAUAAUUGUUUCUUCCCUGUGAAUUUCUUCACUUGCAAUCUUGUUGUGGAUAACUAGCCUUGGUGUGAGUAUGCUAACUUCCUACAGAGGUACACUUGUAACCAUAAAUAAAAAGAAAUUAUUUAGAACA